UACGUAGGGUCCGAGCGUUGUCCGGAAUUACUGGGCGUAAAGAGCUCGUAGGUGGUUUGUCGCGUUGUUCGUGAAAACUCACAGCUUAACUGUGGGCGUGCGGCGAUACGGGCAGACUUGAGUACUGCAGGGGAGACUGGAAUUCCUGGUGUAGCGGUGGAAUGCGCAGAUAUCAGGAGGAACACCAGUGGCGAAGGCGGCUCACUGGCCGU
rnacentral:rRNA from 1 species